AACGAACGCUGGCGGCAUGCCUAACACAUGCAAGUCGAACGAGACCUUCGGGUCUAGUGGCGCACGGGUGCGUAACGCGUGGGAACCUGCCCUUAGGUUCGGAAUAACUCCCCGAAAGGGGUGCUAAUACCGGAUAAUGUCUUCGGACCAAAGAUUUAUCGCCUUUGGAUGGGCCCGCGUUGGAUUAGCUAGUUGGUAGGGUAAUAGCCUACCAAGGCGACGAUCCAGAGCUGGUCUGAGAGGAUGAUCAGCCACACUGGGACUGAGACACGGCCCAGACUCCGACGGGAGGCAGCAGUGGGGAAUAUUGGACAAGGGGCGAAGGCGUGAUCCAGCAAUGCCGCGUGAGUGAUGAAGGCCUUAGGGUUGUAAAGCUCUUUUACCCGGGAUGAUAAUGACAGUACCGGGAGAAUAAGCUCCGGCUAACUCCGUG
rnacentral:rRNA from 1 species